UGCGAGGCUGAUCUGGCUGCUGUACCUGUGACUCCAUCAAUUGAUAGGGCUGAUCUGGCUGAUCUGAAGGGCUAGCGUCUCCUUCAUCUGGUCCUCAUUAAGCUGUGGGCAGCCCUCCAAAAGCUGAAUGCUCUUUCAAAAAAGGAUGCCCUUCCCAGAUAGGAAGAGCUGUUCUUUGGUCAAAAGUAUACAGGUG
rnacentral:snRNA from 1 species